rnacentral:rRNA from 1 species
AGUGAACGCUGGCGGUAGGCCUAACACAUGCAAGUCGAACGGCAGCACAGUAAGAGCUUGCUCUUACGGGUGGCGAGUGGCGGACGGGUGAGGAAUACAUCGGAAUCUACUUUUUCGUGGGGGAUAACGUAGGGAAACUUACGCUAAUACCGCAUACGACCUACGGGUGAAAGCAGGGGAUCUUCGGACCUUGCGCGAUUGAAUGAGCCGAUGUCGGAUUAGCUAGUUGGCGGGGUAAAGGCCCACCAAGGCGACGAUCCGUAGCUGGUCUGAGAGGAUGAUCAGCCACACUGGAACUGAGACACGAUCCAGACUCCUACGGGAGGCAGCAGUGGGGAAUAUUGGACAAAGGGCGCAAGCCUGAUCCAGCCAUACCGCGUGGGUGAAGAAGGCCUUCGGGUUGUAAAGCCCUUUUGUUGGGAAAGAAAAGCAGCAGGUUAAUACCCCGCUGUUCUGACGGUACCCAAAGAAUAAGCACCGGCUAACUUCGUG